AGGAUGUGGAUCAGUGGUAGAUCAUUUGCCUGACAUGCAUAAGACAAAGUGAUGGAUUAGAUUCCCAUCACUGAAAAAAAAAUAGCUGACAUUUAAAAAGAAAUUUUACCAAAUGAAAUAGCAAGAGUAAAUAAUUAUUUUUUUAAUGGGAUGUAGUUCAGUUGUAGAGUGAGACCCUAGGUUCAACUCCUAGCACUGCUA
rnacentral:tRNA from 1 species